rnacentral:rRNA from 1 species
UACGUAGGGGGCAAGCGUUGUCCGGAAUUAUUGGGCGUAAAGAGCUCGUAGGCGGUUUGGCGCGUCUGCUGUGAAAACUCGGGGCUUAACUCCGGGCCUGCAGUGGGUACGGGCAGACUAGAGUGCGGUAGGGGAGACUGGAAUUCCUGGUGUAGCGGUGAAAUGCGCAGAUAUCAGGAGGAACACCGGUGGCGAAGGCGGGUCGCUGGGCCGUAACUGACGCUGAGGAGCGAAAGCGUGGGGAGCGAACAGG